rnacentral:rRNA from 1 species
CGGAGGGUGCAAGCGUUGCUCGGAAUUAUUGGGCGUAAAGGGUAGGUAGGUGGUCUCAUUUGUCUUAUGUGAAAGCCUUGAGCUUAACUCAAGAAGUGCGUAAGAAACGGUGAGACUCGAGUCCUGGAGAGGGUCGUGGAAUUCCCGGUGUAGCGGUGAAAUGCGUAGAGAUCGGGAGGAACACCAGAGGCGAAGGCGGCGACCUGGACAGGUACUGACACUCAACUACGAAAGCGUGGGGAGCAAACAGGAUUAGAUACCCUGGUAGUCCACGCUGUAAACGAUGGGUACUAGGCUUGGUGGGUCUUGACCCCUGCCGAGCCGGAGCUAACGCAAUAAGUACCCCGCCUGGGAAGUACGGUCGCAAGACUA